CCCAAAUGUGACAUAGUUGUCAUCAACACACCUCUUACAGAGAAGACAAGGGGGUUGUUUAACAAAGAUAAGAUUGCAAAAAUGAAGAAAGGUGUUCUCAUUGUUAAUAAUGCUCGAGGAGCAAUUAUGGAUACACAAGCAGUUGUCGAUGCUUGCUCUAGCGGACAGAUUGGAGGUUAUAGUGGGGAUGUCUGGUACCCACAACCAGC
rnacentral:misc_RNA from 1 species